GCCGACUACCGGCGCYGUGUCCCGUGGAUGUUGUGGCUAGUGUCACUGUUGCCUCGRAAGUGCUUGCGUGUUGGUACCCGGACAACGGGAAUUGGUGCUUCGUAAAGGUUGCCUCGCGGUGGACACCUUUGGUGUUCCGCUGCGGCCAUAUGGCGCUAGCGGUGUUGCCUCGUGGUGCUGGCACGUUUACGUGCCCGGUGCUAUCACGGCAGCCUCGCGCACGCCGUUGGUCUYGGAUGUUGCCCACGAUAAACUGUCAUGGCCCUUUUGGUUGCCUUGUCCCGACCCUAAGAAGCUCUCCGAAUUUGAGAACAACCGGAACAGGUGUUGCCUCUACCUCUCCACAGUUAGUGGUAGGAUACGUAACAUUUUGCGCCGAUCCUCAAUCCAGUAGGACGAGCUUAGACCGCUCAAACGUGACAACCGGCCCGGAUGUUGCCUCUGGCUUGACACGCAAGUGGAUGGACGGACAACUUCCGACGCUGGAUGUCAACGAGGACGUGCUACCUGGUUGAUCCUGCCAGUAGUC
rnacentral:misc_RNA from 1 species